GAUGAACGCUGGCGGCGUGCCUAAUACAUGCAAGUCGAGCGAACAGACGAGGAGCUUGCUCCUCUGACGUUAGCGGCGGACGGGUGAGUAACACGUGGAUAACCUACCUAUAAGACUGGGAUAACUUCGGGAAACCAGAGCUAAUACCGGAUAAUAUAUUGAACCGCAUGGUUCAAUAGUGAAAGACGGUUUUGCUGUCACUUAUAGAUGGAUCCGCGCCGCAUUAGCUAGUUGGUAAGGUAACGGCUUACCAAGGCGACGAUGCGUAGCCGACCUGAGAGGGUGAUCGGCCACACUGGAACUGAGACACGGUCCAGACUCCUACGGGAGGCAGCAGUAGGGAAUCUUCCGCAAUGGGCGAAAGCCUGACGGAGCAACGCCGCGUGAGUGAUGAAGGUCUUCGGACCGUAAAACUCUGUUAUUAGGGAAGAACAAAUGUGUAAGUAACUAUGCACGUCUUGACGGUACCUAAUCAGAAAGCCACGGCUAACUACGUG
rnacentral:rRNA from 1 species